rnacentral:misc_RNA from 1 species
AACGCAUCUUGCACUCCUUGGUAUUCCGAGGAGUAUGUCUGUUUGAGUGUCAUGAACUCUACAACUAUUUAUUCUUUAUUGAGUGAGUAGAUUGGUUUCUGAGGCUUGCUAUUUUAAUAGCUGCUUCGUAAUAUAUUAGCAACCCUAGUUGAUCUUGGAUUGACUCAGUGUAAUAGACUAUUCACUGAGGACAAGAUUAGAGUGGAAGCUUAUAAUCAUGCUACAGUCAACUUUUGAAUUAGACCUCAAAUCAGAUAGGAUUACCCGCUGAACUUAA